AGCAGCCGCGGUAAUUCCAGCUCCAAUAGCGUAUAUUAAAGUUGUUGCAGUUAAAAAGCUCGUAGUUGAACUUCGGGGUUUACUUAUUGGUCAGGCUUAAUUGUCUGUACUGGUGAGAUGAAUCUCUACCUUCUGAGGAACUUUCAUGUCAUUUAUUUGGUGUGAUUGGAAAUCAGGACUGUUACUUUAGAAAAAUUAGAGUGUUUAAAGCAGGCUAACGUCUGAAUACAUUAGCAUGGAAUAAUGAAAUAGGACGGACUGAUUCUAUUUCGUUGGUUUCUAGGAUCACCGUAAUGAUUAAGUAGGGAUAGUUGGGGGCAUUAGUAUUCAAUUGUCAG
rnacentral:rRNA from 1 species